rnacentral:rRNA from 1 species
GGACCCGCACAAGUAGUGGAGCAUGUGGUUUAAUUCGAAGAUACGCGCAGAACCUUACCAACACUUGACAUGUUCGUCGCGACUUUAAGAGAUUAAAGUUUUCGGUUCGGCCGGACGAAACACAGGUGCUGCAUGGCUGUCGUCAGCUCGUGUCGUGAGAUGUUGGGUUAAGUCCCGCAACGAGCGCAACCCUCACUUUUAGUUGCCAUCAUUAAGUUGGGUACUCUGAAAGAACUGCCAGUGAUAAGCUGGAGGAAGGUGGGGAUGACGUCAAGUCCUCAUGGCCCUUACGUGUUGGGCUACACACGUGCUACAAUGGUAUCUACAACAGGAAGCAAGACGGCGACGUUAAGCAAAUCCCUAAAAGAUACCUCAGUUCGGAUUGCACUCUGCAACUCGAGUGCAUGAAGCUGGAAUUACUAGUAAUCGU